rnacentral:lncRNA from 1 species
UGGAUUCUCGCCACAGAGUGUUUUUGGUUAGCACGUGUGUCUAGGAUUUUUGUUUAUUUUCAGUGAAUUACUGGCUUUUUGUGACUUGUUUUUGUUGCGGUGUGUUGUCCUUGUGUGUGUUCUCGUGUGUGUACGUCUUUUCGUCUAGCUAAUGCCGUCCUACUAACCCAACAAGCUCUACAAUCAGUUAUGUAAAAUCCUUGUUCUUCUUCCAAAGUUGUUUGUUUGAUGGCAACACUACGUGCUUCUCUUUUCACUCGUCAGUGGCAGAAUCGUCGACAUAGGCAUCGACAAUUUGCCAUAAAGAAAAAUAGAAUAGAAUAGA